AUUGAACGCUGGCGGCAUGCCUUACACAUGCAAGUCGAACGGCAGCACGGGAGCAAUCCUGGUGGCGAGUGGCGAACGGGUGAGUAAUAUAUCGGAACGUGCCCAGUCGUGGGGGAUAACGCAGCGAAAGCUGUGCUAAUACCGCAUACGAUCUACGGAUGAAAGCGGGGGAUCGCAAGACCUCGCGCGAUUGGAGCGGCCGAGAUCAGAUUAGCUAGUUGGGGAGGUAAAGGCUCACCAAGGCGACGAUCUGUAGCUGGUCUGAGAGGACGACCAGCCACACUGGAACUGAGACACGGUCCAGACUCCUACGGGAGGCAGCAGUGGGGAAUUUUGGACAAUGGGCGCAAGCCUGAUCCAGCAAUGCCGCGUGCAGGAUGAAGGCCUUCGGGUUGUAAACUGCUUUUGUACGGAGCGAAACGGUCUUUCCUAAUACGAGAGGCUAAUGACGGUACCGUAAGAAUAAGCACCGGCUAACUACGUGCCAGCCGCCGCCGUAA
rnacentral:rRNA from 1 species